rnacentral:rRNA from 1 species
GUGGGGAAUAUUGGACAAUGGGCGCAAGCCUGAUCCAGCAAUGCCGCGUGGGUGAAGAAGGCCUUCGGGUUGUAAAGCCCUUUUGUACGGAAAGAAAUCCUGGUGGUUAAUACCCGCCGGGGAUGACGGUACCGUAAGAAUAAGCACCGGCUAACUUCGUGCCAGCAGCCGCGGUAAUACGAAGGGUGCAAGCGUUAAUCGGAAUUACUGGGCGUAAAGCGUGCGUAGGUGGUUUCUUAAGUCUGUCGUGAAAGCCCUGGGCUCAAACGGGGGAUGGCGAUGGAUACUGGGAGGCUAGAGUGCGGUAGAGGAUGGCGGAAUUCCCGGUGUAGCGGUGAAAUGCGUAGAGAUCGGGAGGAACAUCCGUGGCGAAGGCGGCCAUCUGGACCAGCACUGACACUGAGGCACGAAAGCGUGGGGAGCAAACAGGAUUAGAAACCCUUGUAGUCC